GGUCCGCCCACUCCGCGAAGGCGUCCAGGCCUCUGACUCGGGCUGGGGGGGCACCUGCCCCUCCUCCAACGCCAGUUCCCUCUAGAGCUCCUUUGUCUGGUGUGUUUAAGGGGCGGCCACUUCUGGGAACAGACGGGGAGGGAGCGGAGAUCCACAGACCUCGGUCCCCGCCCCCCUUCCUCGUUCCGCACCUUGCAGUCCGCGGGACGCCGGGUGCCCGGCCCCGAGGUCGUGGAGGUUAGCGGGGCGGGGCCCAGGAGCCCCGACGUCCCCCCCCCACACACACACGCCCGCGGCGCCGGGCGGCGGGGGGAGGGGCGGGGCGCCACUUCCUCUUCCGCGGCGUGUCACCGGCUGGGCAGGCGGUGGCGGGGGGGGGGGGGGGGAGGGGGGCAAGGUGCGGCCGCAGGUGAGCGGCGGGGGGCGGCGGCGCGCGCGGCGCGGUGCGGCCAUAUUAGGCGAUCUCGGCGCCGCGGGAGCCCCGCCCGCCGCCCGGGAAGCCGCGGCCCGGGCAGCCCCGUCCCCGCCCGCCGCCGGCCCUGAGUCACCGGCCGGGCGGGGGUGGAAGUAACGGACGGGGGGCGCCGGGCGCGCUCCUCGCCUUAUUUAGUCAAGGAGGCCGCCGAUUGGCCGGCGGAACAAAGGGGCGGUGGCGGGCGGCCGGGGCGGGAGCGGAGGGGGCAGCGGCUGGCCCCCGCCCCCACCCCCGGUCCCCACCCCCGGCCGCCCGCGACCCCACAGCUCCGCUGCCGGCGCGGCCCCCAGGAUGGGGGUGGGGCUACCCGUGCCCGCGCCCCCCCCCCCCCAGGUCCGGCGGCUGCAGGGGUGCGGGGGAUGCGGGGCUGGGUCGCCUCCCGGCGGGGGAGGAGGGGAGUGACGGCCCUUCUGGGAAGCACCGCCGGGAGCCGGGAGUACGUGGACGCGGAGGAGCCCUGCCCCAGGCACACAGGGCAGGUGACUUGGUGAUGGGUCGGCGCCCCCAGCCUUUGGCCUGGCCAUUCCCACCUGCGAGGAAUGCCUCGCCUUCUCCAUGCAAAUGCGACGUGGGAUCCUGGUUUGGAUCCUGGGACACAAAAAAGGAAGGCAGCGGAAGAAGCAGUGAAAUCUGAGUAAAGUCUGGAGUUUAAUACCAAGUGCCAAAGUUCCUCGCGGUGACAGCUGAACCACGCCUGUGUAAGUUGUUACCUUAAGAGAAACUGAGGGGGGAGGCUACAGCAAAGCUCACGCAAUCUUUGCUACUUUUCUGUAAAUCUAAGAUUAUAAUAAAAACUUCAUUUCAGAACA